rnacentral:rRNA from 1 species
UUAAAAUUUUUACCGCUUCGGCGUUAUAACCUCACACUCAAUCUUUUAUCACGAAGUCAUGAUUGAAUCGCGAGUGGUCGGCAGAUUGCGAUAAACGGUCACAUUAAAUUUAACCUGACUAUUCCACUGCAACAACUGAACGGACUGGAAACACUGGUCAUAAUCAUGGUGGCGAAUAAGUACGCGUUCUUGCAAAUCACCAGAAGGCGGUUCCUGAAUGAAUGGGAAGCCUUCAAGAAGGUGAUAAGCAGGAGAAACAUACGAAGGCGCAUAACGAUACCACUGACCCUCAGCAAUCUUAAACUUCUUAGACGAAUCACCAGAACGGAAAAC